CCUACGGGAGGCAGCAGUGGGGGAUAUUGGACAAUGGGCGCAAGCCUGAUCCAGCAACGCCGCGUGGAGGAUGAAGGCUUUCGGGUCGUAAACUCCUGUCAGGUGGGACGAAAAGGGGUCGUCUAACAAGCGGCUCCGCUGACGGUACCACCAGAGGAAGCCCCGGCUAACUCCGUGCCAGCAGCCGCGGU
rnacentral:rRNA from 1 species